AUAUAUUUCUUGUUCUUCGGAUGGGGUAUGAAUCAUUUAUGCCUUCAGUAUUAUAGAGAGCAGGCGGUCCCAGUCCUAAUAGGAUUACUGCUCCUUGUUUUUGACGGACCGGACCGGACAGGAAAGAGGUUUAGUCCCUCCAUGCGCACAGUGACAUCGGUCAGGUCAUGGCCAAGUGUGUUUGUGAAGCCCACAGUCGCGAGCAUUUCAUUUCCCACUUGAGAGAUUCUGCUCACCUGAAGAUGAAGGGAUGGGGUGCUCAGAUAGAUCGAUUCCAUGGCGGUGAGGGACAUCUCGGUCUCGUGGAUGAAAGCGUACACAAUGAAGCUCAGGAAAGACUGACCUAUGAUGAAGUUCUUGUACUCAUCUGCUGUCACA